rnacentral:rRNA from 1 species
UACGGGAGGCAGCAGUGAGGAAUAUUGGUCAAUGGCCGAGAGGCUGAACCAGCCAAGUAGCGUGAGGGAGGACUGCCCUAUGGGUUGUAAACCUCUUUUGUUUGGGAAUAAAGUGAGCCACGUGUGGCUUUUUGUAUGUACCUUACGAAUAAGCAUCGGCUAAUUCCGUGCCAUGCAGCCGCGGUAAU